GUGUUUGCUUCGGCAGCACAUAUACUAAAAUUGGAAUGAUACAGGGAAGAUUAGCAUGGGCCCUGCGCAAGGAUGACACGCAAAUUUGUGAAGCAUUCUCUAUGGUU
ensembl:snRNA U6 U6 spliceosomal RNA